UAUUAGCAACCUUCCUGCUUUCUCACAGUGGUCAUGAUGAUGUCUUUUGCUAAAGGUGAAAUAACACACAGUCCAUUUUUAAUACUUAUAAUGUAGCUCAGUUUGAGCCUCUGGAGGCAGUAAAUGUUUUGAAAGUUUGCAUAUUGAAUCUCACUUUUUUUUGUCUUGUUCCACCACAAUCUGCAGGCUUAAAUCCUGAAUUAAGAGCUUGAUGCCAUCCUUGUUGAAGUAGAGAGUAAAAUUUCCAUCAAUUUUAAUAGUUCAGGAUUGUGUUUAACAUGCAUACCUUUAAGAAGGCUUUCCAUCAUGAGCUGCAAGAGUUUACACACAGUUGCCUGACAUAGCUGCCACAGGAGCAUUGCUAAAAGAGAAGUCCCUAGCUGGAACCCUGCAUCCAAGCACUUGUGAAUACUAUGGUGCUCAAAAUUUGGCUCUCAGUUUUAUCUCUUGGACCAUAUCUAGUACAGAUGUGUAGUCAGCCACUUCGUGAGUCAACUAUUUCUUGACAUUGGAAGGGCUGGUUCUUUCCAUCUCCUGAAGAAACCUUCUGACUAGCUGGAAAGAUGAAGCUCUCUGUUCUCUUUGGUUUGCUGUUUGUCUUGAUCCUGUGUUUCAGUGCCUUUUCUGCAGAAGGUCGGAGAGUUAAAAAUUGCUGCAGAAAAUUAAAAGAUAAUAAAAUCAUCCAUAAAGGUAUAAGACAUGCACAGAAACCACAACGCUGCAAACGUUGCUAUCCAGCAACAAAACCCAAGGUUUUCAAGCCAGGGCCUCUUUCUGAGAUUUAAAGUGAGCAGCAUCUGCAAAGGAUAAAUAUCUGUGUCCACAGCAGUCUGGCUACUGAUGUGUCUUAUCAUAAUUUUACUUGCUUUGGACUCCUCUAGAGCAAAUUAUCCUUUCAAUAAAUAACUUCUGAGUGGGCA